rnacentral:rRNA from 1 species
AUUGACCUCGGAUCAGGCCU